UAUGCACACAGCUGUCAUGAUGGUUAUUUGCUGAGUAGCGCUGUGAUAACGGCUGCAGUGAGACUGAAAUCUGAGAAUCACAGAAAAGUCAAAUUCUGAAUGUUCUGCCUUUUCUGAAUAUAACUGAUUUUGUGUCUUUUUUUAGAUACAAUAGACAAAACAAAUGAAGCAGUGGACAGCUCAGUGUUUCUCUCUCUGUUGGUGUUUCUGCCUCAGUUUCUCAUCAUUGAAGCUCUGUGGAUGUGAUGUUGCAGGUCUGUGAGUAGAUCAGCUGUCUGUCCAUAGCUGUGUCUGAAACCGCUCCCUAUCCACUAUAUAGUGCACUAUAUCGGGUGUCGGCCAUUUUGUAGAGGUGUCCGAAACUUGAGUGAACAACUUCAUUCCCUACAUUCAUUCACUACUUUUUACCCACAAUGCACUCUGAUUUUGAGGGUGCAUUCGAUGUACACUCAUUCACUCAUAUUUCCCAUGAUGCAACGGGAGACGAAUGCGUAACUUGUAUCAGCUGAAGGAUACUGACAGUAAACACCAAACAUUUAGGUUUAUAAUUUGUCAGUUAUUUUCUGCUUCUUUAAAAAUAAACAAAUGAAAAAUAAUUUUUGGUUAAAUAAAGAUAAAAACAUAAAAAAUACAUAUAAACCGUUUAUUCUGAUUGGUCAGUAACUGUUUUAAAAACUGGUUUAAAUGUUAAAAUCAAUAAAAAAAGUUUUUGUGACAC